AUUGAACGCUGGCGGCAGGCUUAACACAUGCAAGUCGAGCGGAGAUGAGGUGCUUGCACCUUAUCUUAGCGGCGGACGGGUGAGUAAUGCUUAGGAAUCUGCCUAUUAGUGGGGGACAACAUUCCGAAAGGAAUGCUAAUACCGCAUACGUCCUACGGGAGAAAGCAGGGGAUCUUCGGACCUUGCGCUAAUAGAUGAGCCUAAGUCGGAUUAGCUAGUUGGUGGGGUAUAGGCCUACCAAGGCGACGAUCGGUAGCGGGUAUAAGAGGAGGGUCCGCCACACUGGGACGGAGACACGGCCCAGACUCCUACGGGAGGCAGCAGUGGGGAAUAUUGGACAAUGGGGGAAACCCUGAUCCAGCCAUGCCGCGUGUGUGAAGAAGGCCUUAUGGUUGUAAAGCACUUUAAGCGAGGAGGAGGCUACUGAGACUAAUACUCUUGGAUAGUGGACGUUACUCGCAGAAUAAGCACCGGCUAACUCUGUGCCAGCCGCCGCGGUAA
rnacentral:rRNA from 1 species